GACGAACGCUGGCGGCGUGCCUAACACAUGCAAGUCGAACGGAGAGGUUAUGAACAAGACUUCGGUCAAGUGAGUAAUUUUCUUAGUGGCGGACGGGUGAGUAACGCGUGAGCAAUCUGCCUUUCAGAGGGGGAUAACGUUCUGAAAAGAACGCUAAUACCGCAUAACGUAUAUUUGUGGCAUCGCAGAUAUACCAAAGGAGCAAUCCGCUGAAAGAUGAGCUCGCGUCUGAUUAGAUAGUUGGUGGGGUAACGGCCUACCAAGUCGACGAUCAGUAGCCGGACUGAGAGGUUGAACGGCCACAUUGGGACUGAGACACGGCCCAGACUCCUACGGGAGGCAGCAGUGGGGAAUAUUGCACAAUGGGCGAAAGCCUGAUGCAGCAACGCCGCGUGAGGGGAAGACGGGUCUUCGGAUUGUAAACCUCUGUCCUUGGUGACGAAACAAAUGACGGUAACCAUGGAGGAAGCCACGGCUAACUACGUGCCAGCA
rnacentral:rRNA from 1 species